CCCUACUGCGCCUGCGCCGGGCCUGCAGUGCGCCUGCGUCGGUGGGCCGAGUGCGGGGCGGAGCGGCGGCGGGGCCGGGUCCGGCGGGGCAUGGCGCUGAGGCGGAUCCAGAAGGAAUACCAGGACUUGGAGCGUGAUCCUCCAGCACUGUGUUCAGCAGGUCCAGUAGGAGAUGAUUAUUUUCAUUGGCAAGCUACUAUCAUGGGGCCAAGUGACAGCCCUUACCAAGGUGGGGUCUUCUUCCUGAAUAUACACUUCCCUUCCGAUUAUCCUUUCAAACCACCCAAGGUUUCAUUUACCACAAAAAUCUAUCAUCCAAACAUUAACAGUAAUGGAAGCAUUUGCCUCGAUAUUCUGCGCUCACAGUGGUCUCCAGCUUUAACACUAUCGAAAGUUCUUCUGUCUAUCUGUUCACUGCUGUGCGACCCAAAUCCUGAUGACCCUUUGGUACCAGAGAUUGCGCAUACCUACAAAUCUGACAGGGAAAAGUACAACAAACUGGCCAGAGAUUGGACAAACAAAUAUGCAAUGUAAAAGUGACAAAACAAGAAACAGAAACUCCUUUACAUAAUCUGGAAUGCAAAAAUAAAAGCUGGCUGCAGUUUUAUGGAUUCACCUGUGCCGUUCCCAAUGAAUUUUAUACUUGGUGAAGGGCGAGGAGUUCUCUCUGGAAGCUGAGGCUCUGGCCUUGGUUUGAGCAGUCAGCCUGCCAUAUAUGGAUGUGCAUUUUGAAAUAUACAUAUUAUAUAAAUAAUAUAUAUAUUUCUUUUUUAUCGCCAGUGUCUGUGACAGCAGUCAGUUGUGCGCUGGUGAUCCAGCGUUGUACCGGUCACAGGCGGAAAGGGAGGCAAUAGCAACUUUGUAAGUGUUUUGUUUUGGAAAUGUGAUGCUUGUUUCCCUAAUCUAUUUAUGCUGUCUGCAGUUCAUCUUGUAGAGUGAGUGUGCUUUUUUAUAUAUAGAUUAUAUACUUGUGUCUGUAUAUACACAUAUAGAACUCAGCCUCCCCCGGUAGCACAGUUUUAGUGAAUAUUGUGACUCGUGGCAUGGUCGACUCGGUUGCUCUGCAUCUUCUGAAUCUCAUUGGAACUGGAGGUUCCUCUGCAGAUGCAGCCUGGUGCAAAUCUCUCGGCCGGCCAGCCACCCACCCACAUACCCAACUUUCUUUGGAUUCCGCUGAUGCCAACACUUUGGUUCUGUCCCAAGCUGCCACUCGGUUGUGUGUCCUUCCCCAUCCUCCUUCUCCAGUGCAUGUUUCUUGCCGGCCGCUUCCCCCCCCCCCUUUCUCACUUCACUUGAAAGCCCUUGUGGGGCUGGCCAGAAACGGGAGCCAAAAAUGUGACCCGGGAUUCUUUUUUUUUUUAAGCUUCUGCCACACCACCCACUAGGGAUGGACAGUACACGUUUGGUUGGUUUCUUCGUUAUCGCCAUCCCAUCAACAAAAAGGCAUGGCUUCAGAUGUAGCAAGGUCCUGCUCCAGACGGUAGAGGUCCUCCAUCUGAUGGUGGAGAUUCUCCAUCUGAUGGUGGAAGUCCUUCAUCUGAUGGUGGUCUUCCAUUUUCCAUUGGCUGGUGGAAGUCCUCCAUCGGAUGGUGGAGGUCCUCCUCCAGAUGGUAGAGGUCCUCCAUCUGAUGGUAGAGGUCCUCCAUCUGAUGGUAGAGGUCCUCCAUCUGAUGGUAGAGGUCCUCCAUCUGAUGGUGGAAGUCCUCCAUCUGAUGGUGGAGGUCCUCCUCCAAAUCUUAGAGGUCCUGUCACUGUGGUGGUACUGGUGUGCACAAUCUAGAGUGAGAUCCACGUCUGGCACUGCAGUCUCAAGCCUCACGUAUGUGGACUGGAGCAGUACCUAGCCCCUUAGAAACUGCCCUUGCAAGUGGAUGAUAGGAGCUGCUGGUCCUCUACUCUGGGUGUGAUUUAAACCAAAUCCCUGCGGUGAGCCGAUGCUGAUGUGCUUCUCAAUGACUAGCUUUGUGGCAGCAACCAGGAGCACGGACAUAGCUGGUCUUUCACCCAUUUACACAUGAGCUCUGAGACUACUGUAGCAGCCAUUCUACAUCCUUGCUGAGGCCUAACUCCGCAGAAAGGGAGACACCACUCCAAAGUCCUCCUCAAUGGGAUCUUCCUCGUGCAUGCAACCUUGCAGAAGCCUCAGUGGGUGUUCCUGUCUGGCUCCUGUUGUUUAAUUAACUUUUGAACAUUAAGAGACAACAGUGAUCAGAAUCGAGACCUGUCCUGUAGUGAUUUUGCUCAAGGAUCUUAUGAUGUUUCACCACCUUCUGACCCACUUGCUUGCUGCAGGUGUGUGGGCAAUGGCUGGGUUGUAGCCCUGGGCGGUGGGGAGUUCUUGUCUCACUGCAGCAUCUCAACACUAAGUGCUGCAACAGGCCGUGGAAAAUCCCUUGUGUAGGACUGGAGUGAGUUUGUAAAUAAAGCACUGCGUGUGGAAAGUGGCCUCCUGACCACUCUGCUGCCACGUCUGAUGUCCAUUUCCAGCCAAGGUUUAAUCUCUUCCGUAAACUCGAAUGGAUUGAUUUAAAAUGAAGAAAAAACUAAGAUUUGAAAUGGAAAAGAUAAAUAUACAUGGUUUUUAAGUUUAAAAUAAAUGAUGGGGUUUUCACCGAAUGAUCUAGCCUCGUGUUGGUACCAUGUAGUGUUCUGUCUUUUUUAACAGUGUGUUCCAAUAUGCAAAGUCCUUUCCUAAGCUGUGUGAAUAAAUUGGUGGCUGGUUUCUGCUCUGAC